rnacentral:rRNA from 1 species
CCCAAAGGUUCCCUCAGCCUGGUUGGUAAUCAGGUGGUGAGUGUAAGUGCACAAGGGAGCUUGACUGUGAGACCGACGGGUCGAGCAGGGACGAAAGUCGGGACUAGUGAUCCGGCGGUGGCUUGUGGAAGCGCCGUCGCUCAACGGAUAAAAGGUACCCCGGGGAUAACAGGCUGAUCUUCCCCAAGAGUCCAUAUCGACGGGAUGGUUUGGCACCUCGAUGUCGGCUCGUCGCAUCCUGGGGCUGGAGUCGGUCCCAAGGGUUGGGCUGUUCGCCCAUUAAAGCGGUACGCGAGCUGGGUUUAGAACGUCGUGAGACAGUUCGGUCCCUAUCCGCUGCGCGCGUAGGAGUCUUGAGAAGGGCUGUCCCUAGUACGAGAGGACCGGGACGGACGAACCUCUGGUGUGCCAGUUGUUCUGCCAAGGGCAUGGCUGGUUGGCUACGUUCGGGAGGGAUAACCGCUGAAAGCAUCUAAGCGGGAAGCCUGCUUCGAGAUGAGGACUCCCACCCACUUGAUGGGGUAAGGCUCCCAGUAGACGACUGGGUUGAUAGGCCGGAUCUGGAAGCCAGGUAACUGGUGGAGGUGACCGGUACUAAUAGGCCGAGGGCUUGUCCUCAGUUG